rnacentral:rRNA from 1 species
AGUCUGCAACCCGACUACAUGAAGCUGGAAUCGCUAGUAAUCGCGGAUCAGAAUGCCGCGGUGAAUACGUUCCCGGGUCUUGUACACACCGCCCGUCACACCAUGGGAGUCGGAAAUGCCCGAAGUCUGUGACCUAACCGAGAGGGAGGAGCAGCCGAAGGCAGGUCUGAUGACUGGGGUGAAGUCGUAACAAGGUAGC